GUUUCUUUUUUAUGAACUGUAUUCUGUAGAGUAACAAGCAAUUUAAAUAAAACAGCUCUUAAAGAUGCUCACAUGCAAAGUAGGAGCCAGGUCAACCGCCAUUAAAUCGUACAAGAAGAAGUAGCAGCCAGGUCUUGCCGCGUGUUGCCAGAUUGUGUGGGAUUCUGUUCUAGCCGUACUGCGCUUGCGCGUGGGAAGCCUGGGGUAGGCCCUGCUGUUAUUCUAACUCUAGUUCAAUCCUACACUGCCGUCUCAACCAAAACAAGGCGCAAGAAAAUCCCCCUCCUGGACGGCAAAUAACCGAGGGUUUCCAUCACCAUUGGAUUUGUUUGGAAGUAAAACUCUCAAUGACAAUCCACAGGAGCCCUUCUGCAACCUUCCCAACCUAAAGAAGGCUACAGUGCUGAUUGGGGAUUCAGAACUGAGGAAAAACUUCCCUGGAGAUCCCACAUACACACACUCCCCCGAC
rnacentral:lncRNA from 1 species